UGGCGGCAUGCCUUACACAUGCAAGUCGAACGGCAGCACGGGAGCAAUCCUGGUGGCGAGUGGCGAACGGGUGAGUAAUAUAUCGGAACGUGCCCGGUCGUGGGGGAUAACGUAGCGAAAGCUACGCUAAUACCGCAUACGAUCUACGGAUGAAAGCGGGGGAUCGCAAGACCUCGCGCGAUUGGAGCGGCCGAUAUCAGAUUAGGUAGUUGGUGAGGUAAAGGCUCACCAAGCCGACGAUCUGUAGCUGGUCUGAGAGGACGACCAGCCACACUGGGACUGAGACACGGCCCAGACUCCUACGGGAGGCAGCAGUGGGGAAUUUUGGACAAUGGGCGCAAGCCUGAUCCAGCAAUGCCGCGUGCAGGAUGAAGGCCUUCGGGUUGUAAACUGCUUUGUACGGAACGAAACGGUGAGCUCUAAUACAGUUUGCUAAUGACGGUACCGUAAGAAUAAGCACCGGCUAACUACGUG
rnacentral:rRNA from 1 species